rnacentral:rRNA from 1 species
AGCGAACGCUGGCGGCAGGCUUAACACAUGCAAGUCGAGCGGGCCCUUCGGGGUCAGCGGCAGACGGGUGAGUAACGCGUGGGAACGUGCCCUUCGGUUCGGAAUAACUCAGGGAAACUUGAGCUAAUACCGGAUACGCCCUUCUGGGGACAGGCUUGACUGCCGAAGGAUCGGCCCGCGUCUGAUUAGCUAGUUGGGGAGGUUACGGCUCACCAAGGCGACGAUCAGUAGCUGGUCUGAGAGGAUGAUCAGCCACACUGGGACUGAGACACGGCCCAGACUCCUACGGGAGGCAGCAGGGGAGAAUAUUGUACAAGGGGGGCAACACUGAUCCAGCCGUGCCGGGUAAGUGGUGACGGCCUUAGGGUUGUAAAGCUCUUUUCUCCGGGACGAUAAUGACGGUACCGGAGGAAUAAGCCCCGGCUAACUUCGUGCCAGCCGCCGCAGUAA